GACGAACGCUGGCGGCGUGCUUAACACAUGCAAGUCGAACGGAAAGGCCCUGCUUGCAGGGUACUCGAGUGGCGAACGGGUGAGUAACACGUGGGUGAUCUGCCCUGCACUUCGGGAUAAGCUUGGGAAACUGGGUCUAAUACCGGAUAGGACCGCACUUUAGUGUGUGUGGUGGAAAGUUUUUUCGGUGUAGGAUGAGCUCGCGGCCUAUCAGCUUGUUGGUGGGGUAAUGGCCUACCAAGGCGGCGACGGGUAGCCGGCCUGAGAGGGUGUACGGCCACAUUGAGACUAAGAUACGGCCCAGACGCGUACGGGAGGCAGCGGUGGGGAAUAUUGCACAAUGGGCGCAAGCCUGGUGCAGCGGCGCCGCGUGGGGGAUGAAGGACUUCGGGUUGUAGACUCCUUUCGCUAGGGACGAAGCUUUUUGUGACGGUACCUAGAGAAGAAGCACCGGCUAACUACGUG
rnacentral:rRNA from 1 species